GGUGGCUCGGAGGUAGAGUGCUUGCCUUGCAUGCAUGAGGCCCUGGGUUCAAUUCCUCAGCACCA
rfam:Dipodomys ordii contig_43498, whole genome shotgun sequence.